rnacentral:lncRNA from 1 species
UUUUUUUUUUUUUUUUUUUGCUUUUUAGGACUGCACCCAAGGCAUAUGGAGGUUCCCAGGCUAGGGGUCCAAUUGGAGCUAUAGCCACUGGCCUACACCAGAGCCACAGCAACGCGGGAUCCAAGCUGCAUCUGCGACCCACACCACAGCUCAUGGCAACGCUGGAUCCUUAACCCACUGAGCAAGGCCAGGGAUCGAACCCACAACCUCUUCGUUAACCACUGCGCCACGACAGGAAUUCCCCAAUGAUGAUGUUUUGAUCGAUGUUUUUCAUUCCUCUUCUCUGUGACAUCCCGCCACCCCACCCCCACCCUCACCCCAUAGAAUGGAGGCGCCUGUCCUCUCUUCAUUGCCCUCCCCACCCCCAUCCCCCGCCAGGGAGCUCUGCAAGGGAGCAAAGUGUGUAUGAAGGAGGGAGGGAGGGACAGGUUAGUUUCCUGGGCCUGAAACUAAAUGACAGUGUGUGAAACUAAAGCUGGAUUUUGCUGAUCUGUUGGCUCUUACCCAUGUGCACUCUCCACCCCAGCUUUUUUUAAAAAUUUUUUAAUUUUUGUCUUUCUUUUUAGAGCCACACCUAGGGCACAUGGAGGCUCCCAGGCUAGGAAUCCAGUUGGAGCUGUAGCUGCCGGCCUACACCACAGUCACAGCAAUGCAAGAUCUGAGCCACGUCUGUGACCUCCACCACAGCUUACAGCAGUGCUGGAUCCUUGACCCACUGAGCAAGGCCAGGGAUGGAACCCGCAACCUCAUGGGUCCUAGUCAGAUUUGUUUCCACUAUGCUAUGAUGGGAACUCCCCACCCACGCCAACCUUUUAAAAUGUCCAGGCAGGCAAGGUCCUCUCACAGGUGCUUGUGUAUCAGCCCAAGUAGCUACUAAUCCACCUGUGCCACCUUGGCCCGCCCAGGUUCCCCCGUGAUGAAGGGAGCAUCUCUCCUGCUCCAUGGGUGCCCAAAGCUGGGGACAGAUCAAAAGACCCAGGGUUUCUUGGGUCUUGUGUGAACAUAGGGUUUGAUAGGAUGGCAGAUCACAGCCACCAGGCUGAGUACAAAACCCACUUCCCUUCUGCUCUAAUUCUCAACCAGCCCUGAUCCCCCUGGUAGUUUUUCCCCACCUCUAAGUCUCCAGCCCACUGUUCCUUCCUGAUUUUGCUAGACAAAAUCUUUUUUGCUCGUGUGCCUCUAAACCCCAUGUGCAAGCAGAGCUCAGGUCUGUCCUCUGCAUCCAGUCUCCUGCCAGGACCUCCUGGGAUGGAUCGGUGGGUACCAGCAUAUGGAGAAGGUGGCAGUCACUGGCCAGGUGGAUCUCAGCUCAGUUCCACCCGGACGGGCUGCUCCACCACAGGAGGCCAUGGGAGUCACUGAGAGAUGGAAAUGGUUGAUGGCUUUCUUCUCCUGGUAGAAGUUUGUGUUAGAUUUGUUUCUAAUGAUGAAGUUGCACUUAAGUCAUUUUGCAGGUGGGGAGGGCAGGGAGUUGAAUUCAUUCAGAUCAAACUUAACUGGUUUGCAUGAUACCUGUUAGAUUAUCUUUUAAACCCCUCUUUCACCUGAUCUCUGUAUGUGAAAUAGUGAAAUGCUUUCGUAUUUAUCUCCCCGUACCAAGAGAGGUAUGGAUAUGUGGAGAGAUUAAUUUAUUAAAGGGCAAGUGAAGUUAUAGCCCCUUCCCUUUUUUGUUUUUUUAUUUUUAUUUUUAAUCAUUUUGCCAUGUCCACGGCAUGCAGAAGUUCCCGGGCCUGGGAUUGAAUCCCAGCCCCAGCAGUGAAAACGCCCAAUCUUUAACUUCUAGGCCACCAGCCCCUUCAUUUUUUAAAAUAUUACUUUCAACUCUAAUAACUGUUUCUAAAAUUUGACUCUAAGCAUCAGUGAAAUUGGGGACCACGACUGCUUACUCCCGUCAUCCUUUUAGCACCUGGCACCGAGGCACUUAGUGCUGCCGUAAUGCACAAAUAAAGAAUUUAUUGCAGGAUCUGCCACAUUGGAGCUGUCUGCUGGAGGAUGUAUUAUGUAAGAAGCUCGUGUGAAGCUUUAAAAUUGUAUCAGAUGAAGUAGGUGAAGUCCCUAGAGGAGGUGAAUCAGUGGGAGGAGGCUGUGAUGGUUUAUUUCUGUUCCCGCCUGGUACAGGCCCAGGAGGGUCUGCUGGCUGAUCCAAUGUAAAGCCUACAUGGCAGGCUGGGGGGCUGAUGGGCCCACAGCAGACCCAUGGGUUGGAGGCAUGGAGGAAGCCCAGCGGCAGCAGGCCUGGUUUGGCCCCAGGGCUGUGCGUGGGAUGAAAGUUGCAGGCCUCAUGGGCUCGGUAAAGUGGACUGGCCAUGUCCAUUUGGCAUUUAUUACAGCCACAGGGCUGGUUCACGACUCCAGGCGGGGGACAGGGGACUCUCUGCUGAAUUUCUCCUGGCUGCUUCUGUAUGGGCAUUAGCUUGGUUCUUUCCAGACUCUGAUGCAGCCCUAGCAGUUCCCAUGUUUACAUGUUAUAGGCGUGGCCACAGUGGGGGACGGUCCUGAUCCCCGGCCUGGCCCAAAUACUGCAUUGCUGAGCAACAUGAAAUAAUAGUUCCAUCAGCCACAGCCAGGCCUGGGGAUGAAGUCAGAGCCACACAGGACUCCCCAGGGCCCACCUGGUGGCGAUGAGUAAAUAGUCCUAGGGAAGAAAUUUAAUUAGGAAUCCAGUUUACACAGAAAAAUGUCUUUGGUGUUUAAAAUAAUUAAUAUUUUUACAAGUUGCUUUCAGGUUUUCAUUUGACCUGUGGGGGUGCAGGACAGUAGUGGAGCUACAGAAAGAUUAGGCUAGAUAUGUGGGUCCAGAAAAUAGCAAAAUGCGGUGUUGAGAAGAAGUGGGCAUCCGCCAGUUACUCACACUUGAUCUUAUCUUUUUCCAAAGCCUCGGUUUACAGCUCCAAGACGUGGGGGUGAUGAUUCGUGCUUGUCUGUAUCAUAAGAUUCUGCUGAAGAUUAGGUGGGUGGUUUGCCCCAGCCUCUCCUCUCAUUCCUUAGGCUGUCCCUAGGUGUCUUAAUUUCUCAGGUGCAGAAUCAGGUGUUUCUCCAUCAAACAACCGAAACUAUCCAGAAAUCUGAUCUCCCACCUUGUUGCACUGGCUUAUUUUUUGGCAGUUUCUCCCUUCUCCUCACUUCAUUUCUGCUUCUCUUGUCUUGGUUUAGGCCAUCAUCUUCUGUUGCCGGAUGCUUUUGUAGCCA